AUGUUGGCUCGGAAGAGUAUCAUCCCUGAAGAGUACGUGUUGGCACGGAUCGCUGCCGAGAACCUGCGCAAGCCGCGCAUCCGAGACCGGCCACGCAAAGCCCGCUUCAUCGCCAAGAACGGGGCAUGCAACCUGGCACACAAGAACAUCCGUGAGCAGGGGCGAUUCCUGCAAGACAUUUUCACCACCUUGGUGGACCUGAAGUGGCGUCACACGCUGGUCAUCUUUACUAUGUCCUUCCUGUGCAGCUGGCUGCUCUUUGCCAUGAUGUGGUGGCUGGUGGCUUUUGCCCACGGCGACAUGGACCCAAGCACUGAAAGCACUACGAACAGCACGAAGUGGACACCAUGCGUGACGUGUGUCAGGUAA